rnacentral:rRNA from 1 species
UACGGAGGGUGCGAGCGUUGUUCGGAAUCACUGGGCGUAAAGGGCGUGUAGGCGGUCCGUUAAGUCUGAUGUGAAAGCCCGGGGCUCACCCCCGGAAGUGCAUUGGAAACUGGCGGACUCGAGUCCCGGAGAGGAGAGUGGAAUUCCUGGUGUAGCGGUGAAAUGCGCAGAUAUCGGGAGGAACACCGGUGGCGAAGGCGGUUCUCUGGGCCUGACCUGACGCUGAGGAGCGAAAGCGUGGGGAGCGAACAGG